AGCAUCAUCAGUCAUUUAUAUCUUGGAGGUGUGGAACAAGUAAACUGAGGUAAUGAAAUAAUAUUUGCCUUCACAUUAGUCACUGCUCAGUCACUUAGAGAUGUAAAUUGCAGAAGAUAUACAACUUGUAAAAAUUAUCUCAUUCUUUCUAAUUGGAUUGUGAAAUAUCUAACACCAGCUCCAUUUUUAAGAAAUGUUAAUGCAAACCUGAGAGACUGCAAAUACUGCCAGUGUUGCCUUCUAUAGAAACGGGAUUUGGCUGGAUGAUAUCCCUGGACUAAUCAUCUACAAUGUGGAAAUACUAAGAAUCAUGGCACAGAGGUUAAUACACUUAGGCAAACAACAUAGUGAGUAAAUUAAACUCGCAUUUCUUUUAACGAGAUAAAGUUUGUCACAUACCCACAGAAUUCAUGAGGAAGUUCUGAAAGGAUCAUACACUCCCAAAAUUUGCAGUGAAAACGAUCUUAGAUAAUGUCUUUUUCAUAGCACUCAAUUAUAUGUAAGGAAACUGAGGCCCAAAGUGGUGAAGCCAGUGAGAGAGUGGACUAAAGAAAGACUCAUUGUAUCUACCUCGCACUUGCGAAUUUCCUAUCUAAAGAUUUCUGUUAGCCCCCAAACAUCCCCCAGGAUCAGGAGAAAAUAAAACCAGGAUAUUUACAUUUCCCAUACUUCUCAUAUGGAAGAAAUGCUUUUGGUUCCAAGUACUGUUGUCCACUGAAAUAUCAGCAUACAUGUUUGGAAAGUUUUACUUGUGUGAAAUAAUUAAAAUCCAUGGUUUCGAG
rnacentral:lncRNA from 10 species